UACGAAGGAGGCUAGCGUUGUUCGGAAUCACUGGGCGUAAAGCGCACGCAGGCGGAUCGAUAAGUCGGGGGUGAAAGCCCGGGGCUCAACCUCGGAAUUGCCUUCGAUACUGUCGGUCUCGAGUCCGGGAGAGGUGAGUGGAAGUCCUAGUGUAGAGGUGAAAUUCGUAGAUAUUAGGAAGAACACCAGUGGCGAAGGCGGCUCACUGGGCCGGUACCGACGCUCAGGUGCGAAAGCGUGGGGAGCAAACAGG
rnacentral:rRNA from 1 species